rnacentral:rRNA from 1 species
ACAGGGAUUGCCCCAGUAACGGCGAGUGAAGCGGCAACAGCUCAAAUUUGAAAUCUGGCCCCCUUGCGGGGUCCGAGUUGUAAUUUGAAGAGGAUGCUUCUGGCGAGGCGCCGUCCGAGUUCCCUGGAACGGGACGCCGCAGAGGGUGAGAGCCCCGUACGGUCGGACGCCGAGCCUCUGUGAAGCUCCUUCGACGAGUCGAGUAGUUUGGGAAUGCUGCUCAAAAUGGGAGGUAAACCCCUUCUAAAGCUAAAUACCGGCCAGAGACCGAUAGCGCACAAGUAGAGUGAUCGAAAGAUGAAAAGCACUUUGAAAAGAGAGUUAAAAAGCACGUGAAAUUGUUGAAAGGGAAGCGCUUGCGACCAGACUCGCGCCCGUCGGAUCAGCCGUCGCUCGUCGGCGGCGCACUCCGGCGGGCUCGGGCCAGCAUCGGUUCGCCUCGGGGGGAGAAAGGCGGCGGGAAUGUGGCUCUUCGGAGUGUUAUAGCCCACCGCGUAAUACCCCCGGGCGGACCGAGGACCGCGCGUAUGCAAGGAUGCUGGCGUAAUGGUCGUCAGCGACCCGUCUUGAAACACGGACCAAGGAGUCGUCCUAAUAUGCGAGUGUUCGGGUGUCAAACCCCUGCGCGUAAUGAAAGUGAACGGAGGUGAGAGCUUCGGCGCAUCAUCGACCGAUCCUGAUGUUCUCGGAUGGAUUUGAGUAAGAGCAUAUUGGGCCGGACCCGAAAGAAGGUGAACUAUGCCUGUAUAGGGUAAAGCCAGAGGAAACUCUGGUGGAGGCUCGCAGCGGUUCUGACGUGCAAAUCGAUCGUCAAAUAUGGGCAUGGGGGCGAAAGACUAAUCGA